rnacentral:misc_RNA from 1 species
UCGCGCCUUACGGCGGCAGUUUCACUAGAGUUCCCAGCUUUACCUGAUGGCAACUAGUGAUAGGGGUUGCGCUCGUUGCGGGGCUUAACCCAACACCUCACGGCACGAGCUGACGACAGCCAUGCAGCACCUGUGUUCCGAUUCCCUUUCGGGCACUCCCACCUCUCAGCAGGAUUCCGGACAUGUCAAGGGUAGGUAAGGUUUUGCGCGUUGCAUCGAAUUAAUCCACAUCAUCCACCGCUUGUGCGGGUCCCCGUCAAUUCCUUUGAGUUUUAAUCUUGCGACCGUACUCCCCAGGCGGUCAACUUCACGCGUUAGCUGCGGUACUGAGAAAUCGCUUCCCCAACACCUAGUUGACAUCGUUUAGGGCGUGGACUAC